GGGGGUGUAGCUCGGUUGGCAGAGUGCUUGCCUUGCACGCACGGGCCCUGGGUUGGAUCCCCAGCACCCCCG
rnacentral:tRNA from 1 species